rnacentral:tRNA from 1 species
GGUCGCGUGGCCUAAUGGUUAAGGCACCAGUUUUCGGCACUGGGGAUUGGGAGUUCGAAUCUUCCCGCGAUCG